CCAAAAUCCGGGGGGCUGAGCUGAGGCGUGAUGACGAGGAACCACGGUUCCGAAGUGAUUGAUACCAAGCUUCCAGGAAAAGCCACUAAGCUUCAGUCUAGAGUUGACCGUACCGCAAACCGACACAGGUGGGCAGGAUGAAAAUUCUAAGGCGCUUGAGAGAACUCAGGAGAAGGAACUCGGCAAAUUAACACCGUAACUUCGGGAGAAGGUGUGCCCCGGUAGCGUGUAGAGACUUGCUCUCGAAGCGCGAUGGGGUUGCAGUGAAAUGGUGGCUGCGACUGUUUAAUAAAAACACAGCACUCUGCAAACACGAAAGUGGACGUAUAGGGCGUGACGCCUGCCCGGUGCCGGAAGGUUAAGUGAUGGGGUGCAAGCUCUUGAUCGAAGCCCCGGUAAACGGCGGCCGUAACUAUAACGGUCCUAAGGUAGCGAAAUUCCUUGUCGGGUAAGUUCCGACCUGCACGAAUGGCGUAACGAUGGCCACACUGUCUCCUCCUGGGACUCAGCGAAGUUGAAAUGUUUGUGAAGAUGCAAUCUACCCGCGGCUAGACGGAAAGACCCCAUAACCUUUACUGUAGCUUUGCAUUGGACUUUGAACCGGUUUGUGUAGGAUAGGUGGGAGACUGUGAAGCCGGGACGCUAGUUUCGGUGGAGUCAACCUUGGAAUACCACCCUGAUUUGUUUGAGGUUCUAACCUUGGUCCGUGAAUCCGGAUCGGGGACCGUGCAUGGUAGGCAGUUUGACUGGGGCGGUCUCCUCCCAAAAGGUAACGGAGGAGUACGAAGGUACGCUUAGGGCGGUCGGACAUCGCCCACAAAGUGCAAUGGCAAAAGCGUGCUUGACUGCGAGACCCACAAGUCGAGCAGGUACGAAAGUAGGUCAUAGUGAUCCGGUGGUUCUGUAUGGAAGGGCCAUCGCUCAACGGAUAAAAGGUACUCUGGGGAUAACAGGCUAAUUCCUCCCAAGAGUUCAUAUCGACGGGGGAGUUUGGCACCUCGAUGUCGGCUCAUCACAUCCUGGGGCUGUAGUCGGUCCCAAGGGUAUGGCUGUUCGCCAUUUAAAGUGGUACGCGAGCUGGGUUUAAAACGUCGUGAGACAGUUUGGUCCCUAUCUGCCGUGGGCGCUGGAAAUUUGAAGGGGGCUGCUCCUAGUACGAGAGGACCGGAGUGGACGAACCUCUGGUGUACCGGUUAUGACGCCAGUCGUAUCGCCGGGUAGCUAAGUUCGGAAGAGAUAAACGCUGAAAGCAUCUAAGCGUGAAACUCGCCUUAAGAUAAGAUUUCCCGGAGUCUUGAACUCCCUGAAGGGUCGUCGAAGACCACGACGUUGAUAGGUCAGGUGUGGAAGCGCAGCAAUGCGUUAAGCUAACUGAUACUAAUUGCCCGUGCGGCUUGAUCCC
rnacentral:rRNA from 1 species